rnacentral:rRNA from 1 species
UUUCGCAAUGCCCGAAAGGGUGACGAAGCGACGCCGCGUGUGGGAAGAAGGCCUUCGGGUUGUAAACCACUGUCGGGAGUUAAGAAAUGUAAGGAUGUUAAUAGCGUCCUUACUUGACUAAGGCUCCGGAGGAAGCCACGGCUAACUCUGUGCCAGCAGCCGCGGUAAUACAGAGGCGGCAAGCGUUGUUCGGAAUUAUUGGGCGUAAAGAGCACGUAGGCGGCCUUGCAAGUCAGUUGUGAAAGCCUUCUGCUUAACGGAAGAACAGCAGCUGAUACUGCAAGACUAGAGUGCGGAAGGGGAGAGUGGAACUUCUGGUGGAGCGGUGAAAUGCGUAGAUAUCAGAAGGAACACCGGCGGCGAAGGCGACUCUCUGGUCCGUAACUGACGCUGAGUGUGCGAAAGCUAGGGGAGCAAACGGGAUUAGAUACCCCGGUAGUCCUAGCCGUAAACGAUGGGCACUAAGUAGAGGGGUUUU